CCUACGGGUGGCAGCAGUGGGGAAUAUUGGGCAAUGGGCGCAAGCCUGAUCCAGCAACGCCGCGUGAAGGAAGAAGGCUUUCGGGUUGUAAACUUCUUUUCUGAGGGACGAAGAUAGUGACGGUACCUCAGGAAUAAGCCACGGCUAACUUCGCGCCAGCAGCCGCGGUAAUACGUAGGUGGCAAGCGUUAUGCGGAUGUAUUGGGUGGAAAGGGAGUGUAGGCGGGAGAGCAAGUCAGAUGAGAAAAGUCAGGGCUCAACCCUGAGCCUGCAUUUGAAACUGUUAUGCUUGAGUGCUGGAGAGGUAAGCGGAAUUCCGGGUGUAGCGGUGAAAUGCGUAGAUAUACGGAGGAACACCAGUGGCGAAGGCGGAUUACUGGACAGUAACUGACGCUGAGGCGCGAAAGCGUGGGGAGCAAACAGGAUUAGAUACCCGAGUAGUC
rnacentral:rRNA from 1 species